AUGUAAUAUAAUUCCUACAACGUUAAUGCAUUAUAUCCUAUCAAAACUAUGCAGUUAAGUGUGCUUGGGCUAGAGUAGUACCGGGAUGGGUGACCUCCCAGGAAGUCCUAGUGUUUUACAUG
rfam:Picea glauca, whole genome shotgun sequence.